UUCCGAACUGAUGUUCAUUGCAAUAUCUCUCAAAUACUUAGGUCCAAAUAGAUGUAACAAAGAAAAGUGAUAAAUAUGGCUUUCUUGACAGCUGUUUCCAGCUUUGAUAAAAAUAUUUGGGUUUGCAUGUGAAACAUGUGAUGGGAAUUUGUAAAUGAAAUACAAAUACAUUUUGUUUUCAUUGACACCAUCUCAUAUUUGUCUUACAAUGAUCAUUGAUUAGCAUCAGAUGUGUUAUAUCCUGGUCAUGGAAUAGCAUCAAAUGUGUCAUAUCCAGGUCAUGGAAUAGAAUCAAAUGUGUUAUAUCCUGGUCAUGGAAUAGAAUCAAAUGUGUUAUAUCCUGGUCAUGGAUUAGCCUCAUAUCUGUCAUAUCCUGAUCAUGGAAUAUUGUCAUAUAUGUAACACCCUGAUCAGCUUUGUCGUACCCUGAUCAGCUUUGUCAUACCCUGAUCAUGGAAUAUCGUCAUAUUUGUAAUGCCCCUAUCAUAAAAUAGCGUAAUUUUGGUCAGCUGAAACUCGGUGAAGACUAUAUUGUUUUAUGUUGGUACUGAUCAUUUUAAAGUUUGUAUAUAUAUUUGAUAACAUGAAAUAUUAAUAUUGUUAUUUUAGAGAACCAUUUAGUUUGCACUGAACAGAAGAAAUAUGAUAAGGACAUUAUAAGUGUUUUUUUUAAAAGGUUUUCUAUGCAAGUGUGGCAUUACCAUGAUAAAAAACUUGUCAUGAUUGAUGAACAUUUAAAAGCAGUGUUUGUAAGGGGUAAAGAUUCCUGGAGGAUGAAGGAAUUGGUUAGUUUAAGUUUCCCU